rnacentral:rRNA from 1 species
CCCUUAGAUGUUCUGGGCUGCACGCGCGCUACACUGAUGCACUCAACGAGUUUACUACCUUGCCCGAUAGGGUUGGGUAAUCUUUUUAAAAUGCAUCGUGAUGGGGAUAGAUUAUUGCAAUUAUUAAUCUUCAACGAGGAAUUCCUAGUAAGCGCGAGUCAUCAGCUCGUGCUGAUUACGUCCCUGCCCUUUGUACACACCGCCCGUCGCUCCUACCGAUUGAGUGCUCAGGUGAAUAAUUCGGACUGCAGCAAUGUUUGGAUCCCGAACGUUGCAGCGGAAAGUUUAGUGAACCUUAUCACUUAGAGGAAGGAGAAGUCGUAACA